rnacentral:rRNA from 1 species
GGGAAACUCACCAGGUCCAGACAUAAUAAGGGUUGACAGAUUGAUAGCUCUUUCUUGAUUUUAUGGGUGGUGGUGCAUGGCCGUUCUUAGUUCGUGGAGUGAUUUGUCUGCUUAAUUGCGUUAACGAACGAGACCUUAACCUGCUAAAUAGGACGACCUAUCUCCGGAUAAGUUGCUUUCUUCUUAGAGGGACUUUAUGCGUUUCAGCAUGAGGAAGUUUGAGGCUAAAA